rnacentral:rRNA from 1 species
GAUGAACGCUGGCGGCGUGUCUAAUACAUGCAAGUCGAGCGAACAGAUGAGGAGCUUGCUCCUCUGACGUUAGCGGCGGACGGGUGAGUAACACGUGGAUAACCUACCUAUAAGACUGGGAUAACUUCGGGAAACCAGAGCUAAUACCGGAUAAUAUAUUGAACCGCAUGGUUCAAUAGUGAAAGACGGUUUUGCUGUCACUUAUAGAUGGAUCCGCGCCGCAUUAGCUAGUUGGUAAGGUAACGGCUUACCAAGGCAACGAUGCGUAGCCGACCUGAGAGGGUGAUCGGCCACACUGGAACUGAGACACGGUCCAGACUCCUACGGGAGGCAGCAGUAGGGAAUCUUCCGCAAUGGGCGAAAGCCUGACGGAGCAACGCCGCGUGAGUGAUGAAGGUCUUCGGAUCGUAAAACUCUGUUAUUAGGGAAGAACAAAUGUGUAAGUAACUAUGCACGUCUUGACGGUACCUAAUCAGAAAGCCACGGCUAACUACGUG